GAUGAACGCUGGCGGCGUGCCUAAUACAUGCAAGUCGAACGCAUUGUGGUUGAAAUGAUAUGAAGAACUUGUUCAGAUUUGAUUUUCAACAUUGCAAUGAGUGGCGAACGGGUGAGUAACACGUGGGAAACCUACCUCUUAGCAGGGGAUAACAUUUGGAAACAAGUGCUAAUACCGUAUAAUAAUUAAAACCGCAUGGUUUUAGUUUAAAAGAUGGUCUUGCUAUCACUAAGAGAUGGUCCCGCGGUGUAUUAGUUAGUUGGUGAGGUAAUGGCUCACCAAGACAAUGAUGCAUAGCCGAGUUGAGAGACUGACCGGCCACAAUGGGACUGAGACACGGCCCAUACUCCUACGGGAGGCAGCAGUAGGGAAUCUUCCACAAUGGACGAAAGUCUGAUGGAGCAACGCCGCGUGUGUGAUGAAGGUUUCGGCUCGUAAAACACUGUUGUAAGAGAAGAAUGACAUUGAGAGUAACUGUUCAAUGUGUGACGG
rnacentral:rRNA from 1 species